rnacentral:tRNA from 1 species
AGGCCGGUAGCUCAGUUGGUUAGAGCGUCAAGCUUAUACCUUGAAUGUCGAAGGUUCGAGUCCUUCCCGGCCUA